UACGAGCUAUGUAUGGUGUGCCACGCUU
rnacentral:sRNA from 1 species